rnacentral:rRNA from 1 species
GAUGAACGCUAGCGGCAGGCUUAACACAUGCAAGUCGAGGGGUAGGGCAGCAAUGCUUGAGACCGGCGCACGGGUGCGUAACGCGUAUGCAAUCUACCUUUUGCAGAGGGAUAGCCCAGAGAAAUUUGGAUUAAUACCUCAUAGUAUAAUGAAUUCGCAUGGAUUUAUUAUUAAAGUAACAACGGCAAAAGAUGAGCAUGCGUCCCAUUAGCUAGAUGGUAAGGUAACGGCUUACCAUGGCGACGAUGGGUAGGGGUCCUGAGAGGGAGAUCCCCCACACUGGUACUGAGACACGGACCAGACUCCUACGGGAGGCAGCAGUGAGGAAUAUUGGACAAUGGGCGCAAGCCUGAUCCAGCCAUGCCGCGUGCAGGAUGACGGUCCUAUGGAUUGUAAACUGCUUUUGUACAGGAAGAAACCCUCGGACGUGUCCGAGAUUGACGGUACUGUAAGAAUAAGGAUCGGCUAACUCCGUGCCAGCAGCCGCGGUAAUACGGAGGAUCCAAGCGUUAUCCGGAAUCAUUGGGUUUAAAGGGUCCGUAGGCGGUUUAGUAAGUCAGUGGUGAAAGCCCAUCGCUCAACGGUGGAACGGCCAUUGAUACUGCUAGACUUGAAUUAUAAGGAAGUAACUAGAAUAUGUAGUGUAGCGGUGAAAUGCUUAGAUAUUACAUGGAAUACCAAUUGCGAAGGCAGGUUACUACUUAUGGAUUGACGCUGAUGGACGAAAGCGUGGGUAGCGAACAGGAUUAGAUACCCUGGUAGUCCACGCCGUAAACGAUGGAUACUAGCUGUUGGGAGUAAUCUCAGUGGCUAAGCGAAAGUGAUAAGUAUCCCACCUGGGGAGUACGUUCGCAAGAAUG